rnacentral:lncRNA from 1 species
UAGACUAGGGGGCCCUGUGGUAGCACCUGCUAAAAUAGUGGGGGCAUCGGAUUGUACUGUGGCGGUGCCGGGCAGUACGGUGGCUGGAGCACCGGUUCAUACUACGGCGGGGGUGCUGGGUGGUACUGUGGUGGAGCAGGCACGUGCCGGGGUGGCUCGGGAUCUGCUUGCUGUAGCGGUGGCUCAACCCGUGGUAGUGGGGGAGGUUCGGGUAACUCUCUUCUCUCCUCUCGACCUUGCUACGCAGCCAUGAUCCUUUCCAGCAUCUCAAAUAUUCUGUCCACAUCUUCCCAAAGCGAAUCAUCCCGGGCUGCUCGGUUUAGUGGAGGUCUUCCUCUCCUCAUUUCUUUACACCUGCAUUUCACAGGGAAGAGUUGAGUAACGAU